rnacentral:rRNA from 1 species
UACAGAGGGUGCGAGCGUUGUUCGGAAUUACUGGGCGUAAAGGGCGCGUAGGCGGCCCGCUAAGUCGAACGUGAAAUCCCCGAGCUCAACUCGGGAACUGCGUCCGAUACUGGCGGGCUUGAAUCCGGGAGAGGGAUGCGGAAUUCCAGGUGUAGCGGUGAAAUGCGUAGAUAUCUGGAGGAACACCGGUGGCGAAGGCGGCAUCCUGGACCAAUAUUGACGCUGAGGAGCGAAAGCCAGGGGAGCAAACGGG